rnacentral:rRNA from 1 species
UACGUAGGGUGCGAGCGUUAAUCGGAUUUACUGGGCGUAAAGCGUGCGCAGGCGGCCCGUUAAGACAGGUGUGAAAUCCCUGGGCUCAACCUAGGAAUUGCGCUUGUGACUGGCGGGCUCGAGUACGGUAGAGGGGGGUGGAAUUCCUGGUGUAGCAGUGAAAUGCGUAGAGAUCAGGAGGAACACCGAUGGCGGAGGCAGCCCCCUGGGCCUGUACUGACGCUCAUGCACGAAAGCGUGGGGAGCAAACAGG